AAGUGUUAUAUUCUUUAAGCUGUGUUUAAUUCUAAGUUGGGGUAGCCCCAUAAGAAACUGAAAGUAAGGUGAGUGCGGAAAAAAGAAAAAGAAAAAUGACCAUCGAAAAAAAAGGAAACAAAAGAAAGAGAAAAUAAAAGAGAAAUUUGAUGGAACGAAGAAAAGCACUCACCGAAUGAGAAACACUCAGUUGGGUAUAAAACCAAAAACAAAAAGAACUGAGUAAUGAAAUUGGAAAAGAAAAAGAAAUGUAAAUGAUAUGUUAGAACAAACACAGUGAAAAGAAUA
rnacentral:lncRNA from 1 species